CUUUUGUGGGGUGCUCGAGUGGCGAACGGGUGAGUAACACGUGAGUAACCUGCCCUUGACUUUGGGAUAACUUAAGGAAACUGGGGCUAAUACCGGAUAGGAGCUCCUGCUGCAUGGUGGGGGUUGGAAAGUUUCGGCGGUUGGGGAUGGACUCGCGGCUUAUCAGCUUGUUGGUGGGGUAGUGGCUUACCAAGGCUUUGACGGGUAGCCGGCCUGAGAGGGUGACCGGCCACAUUGGGACUGAGAUACGGCCCAG
rnacentral:rRNA from 1 species